UCCUACGGGACGCAGCAGUGAGGAAUAUUGGUCAAUGGCCGGAAGGCUGAACCAGCCAAGCCGCGUGAAGGACGAAGGAGCCAAGCAUUGUAAACUUCUUUUGUCAAGGGACAAAAUCAGGCUCGAGAGCCUGAACGAGGGUACUUGAAGAAAAAGCAUCGGCUAACUCCGUGCCAGCAGCCGCGGUAAUACGGAGGAUGCGAGCGGUAUCCGGAUUUAUUGGGUUUAAAGGGUGCGUAGGCGGGCUGUUAAGGCAGUGGGAAAA
rnacentral:rRNA from 1 species